rnacentral:lncRNA from 1 species
CACAACAUCCUUACCAAGCGGGCCAAGCUGCUGAGUGAGAAUGAGUUCCUUGAGCAGCAGAAUACAGAGCUGCAGAUGCUGCUGCAGCAGUACAUCAAUUCCAGGAGGGAAAUCAUUCUUGCCAGUAGUAUAGUCCAUUAGGAACUAUUGAAGAAUCAUCAAUCCAGGAUUACCAGGCUGCCAAGGAAAAGCUUGGCAGGAAC